rnacentral:rRNA from 1 species
UAGGGAAUCUUCGGCAAUGGGGGGAACCCUGACCGAGCAACGCCGCGUGAGUGAAGAAGGUUUUCGGAUCGUAAAGCUCUGUUGUUAAGGAAGAACGAGUGUGAGAAUGGAAAGUUCAUGCUGUGACGGUAGUUAACCAGAAAGGGACGGCUAACUACGUGCCAGCAGCCGCGGUAAUACGUAGGUCCCGAGCGUUGUCCGGAUUUAUUGGGCGUAAAGCGAGCGCAGGCGGUCAAUUAAGUCUGAUGUGAAAGCCCCCGGCUCAACCGGGGAGGGUCAUUGGAAACUGGUUGACGUGAGUGCAGAAGAGGAGAGUGGAAUUCCAUGUGUAGCGGUGAAAUGCGUAGAUAUAUGGAGGAACACCAGUGGCGAAGGCGACUCUCUGGUCUGUAACUGACGCUGAGGUUCGAAAGCGUGGGUAGCAAACAGG